GAUACUGGCUCAGACUGAACGCUGGCGGCAUGCUUUACACAUGCAAGUCGAACGGCAGCACAGGGAGCUUGCCCCCGGGUGGCGAGUGGCGCACGGGUGAGUAAUACAUCGGAACGUGUCCUAUUGUGGGGGAUAACUGCUCGAAAGGGUGGCUAAUACCGCAUGAGACCUGAGGGUGAAAGCGGGGGAUCGCAAGACCUCGCGCAAUUGGAGCGGCCGAUGCCCGAUUAG
rnacentral:rRNA from 1 species